AGACUUCAUCAUGCAGUGGUUCAGUCCGCAGUACCUGGCUGUCCUCGUUCUGGGGCUGCUCGCAGCCGCUUCCGCUUCACCGCUGCCUGGAGGCGGCGGAGGCGGUGGCGGUGGCGGAGGCGGUGGCGGCGGCGGAGGCGGAGGCGGAGGCGGAGGACGCUGAAAGAUUCAGACUGAGAUGUACACAGACCGAUGACCGUUCUCCACAGCAACUGGCCAUGCUAGGGACAGCUUUGAUUGAAAUUACCUCAAAUUCAAAGAAGCAAGGGAUCCCAUGCAUCGUUUUAUCUGAGUCAUCGAUCGUUUUGUGUGUCGAAUAAUACACAACGCAAUCA